GCGGAAAGUGAUUUCAUUUUAUACUGUAUAUUAUUAUUAGCAAUUGUUUUCAUCCAUAUUAUCUAGAUAACCUAUAUUUCAACAAAAAUAAUUAGAUUUUUGUACCAAAAGUACCCAUAAAACGAAUUUUAAGGUUUGGUAAUAGUUGAAAACCUUCUUCGGGCAAUGCUACACUAAUGAAAACCGGAUCAAAAUCCGUUGCAUUGUUUAGAACUUUUUUUAAAUUCUAUUUAAGGAUAGAGAAGAUUUAAUUCAUUGAAGCUUGAUAAUUCACUUUUCAUUAUAGUCUGCUUCACGAGAGAACGGGCCGAUAUCCGACCAAACCGAAUCGCCACAGUGCAUCCCCACGCCGCAACACUAUCCAUUUAUCCCCUCUCGGAUCUAUCGACAGCGCUGCAAUAGCGACCGCAGAAGUGGUGCAGGUGUUGUACACUGCGUUUUAAAUAAUGCACUGUUGACUGUCGAUAGUCCACUGUUAAUCGCCAAUUGCCGUGGUGUACGCACACGUCAUUUUUACAGCGUUUACUUUUUUUUUCCGUUUUUUUAAUUAUUAUAAAAUGAAUGACGGCGAGUCAGUGAAUGAUGUUUCUCCAGUCAAAAGAAACCCAAAAGGAAAGGUAAGCGUUUGUUUUAUAUAUUUAUUCUACGUAGAUAUCCUAAUUUUUUUUUAAUUAUUUUUACAUAAGUACCUAUAUUUUAUUGUACGUAUUAUAGUUUUCUUAAUUACCUAGAACUCAAAUAUAAUAAUUGGAUACGCAAUAAAAAUACUUUUUGGUCAAUGUCAAUUUUAGUACGCUUACAACAAAGUAUUUUUUUAAUGUUUUUAUUGGCUUAUUGGUUCCCGUCAGAGAAUGAUGAUCAUUAAUCUAUACAAAACAAUAAUUGUUGAGUAACCAAACCUCAAAGUAAAAGAAGUGGCAUUGAUGAUCUCAUCACAAACUGGUGUAGGAAAAAAUACUGUCCAAUCGACAAUUUGCGACUACAAAAAUGAAGGUAUAAUAAAAUCUCCUAACAAAAAAAGAUCCGACUGUUUAUCACACACAGAACUGAUGAUUUUGAGAAAGACGCUAUACGCCAAAAAGUUCAUAGUUUUUGGUUCGACGUGAGGUGCCUACGAUUGACAAAAUUUUGAAGACCGUAAACGAUGAUACAGGCCUAGGAAAUUAUUCACGAAGCACACUUCACCGACUUCUUAAAGAAAUGAAUUUUGUUUAUGCAAAGAGAGGGCGAAACAGUGCUCUGAUCGAAAGGGACGACAUUGUUAGUUGGAGGAAUCGUUACCUGGAA